CUGAAACACCCAUGGCUUCUCCCCGGCUAUUACUACUUAAGAAAGAGAUGGGGUCUCCCUUUGUUGCCCAAGCGAGAGUGCAGCAUAUGAUCAAAGCUCACUGUAGCCUCAAACUCCUGGGCUCAAGAAAUCCUCCCACCCUGGCCUCCUAAGUAACUGAGACUCAGCUAUUAUGUGAUAGCAUCUUGCAAACACGAGAGUGAAGCCACGAGAAUUAUGAAGGCAUCAGCCCUGCCACUGAUGUGCUGCUAAAAUAACACCAGGAACCACCUGCCUCUGGAACUCCUGUUGAGUGCCAUGUCCAUGUCCCUCUGGAUCAAGGUUCUGUUAUCUACAACUGAACAAAUUCCCAACUGAUACAGUAAAGAAGAUAGGUAAAGUUCUGGGCAUAAACAUGAAUGUUUAAAUGCAGGAAGAUUAUCCUCGAGAUACAUAGGUCUCCAGCUUUAAAACAGGAACCUGGGUAGCAGUUACUCAAGUUAAGUCCUUACUGCAAUGAACUUUUUAGUUGUGAUCCUUAUUAAAAGCAUCAUUUGCAUAAGUU